CUUAAAUGUGUAGAAACCUGCUUCAUUUAUAUCUAAACAUAUGUUAAUAUUUCCAUAUAUACUUCUGUGAGAACAGAAUUUCUGUGAUUUUGAGGUUUUUUUCUGAGAGCUUUUGAAAGUUUUCUGGUGGGUAGUUAAAUUUGUAUAUUAUAAUCAGUAACUAAUGUCAGGAGUAUUCUCAAUUGCCUAUAAUGUAAAUAAUGAAAAUUUGUUAGAGGGAUCAUUUGUCUAUCUUAUUUUUUGUAGCAGUUUGGCAAUGACAAUCAAAAUUUGAAUAUGUAAAACUUUUGAAAUGAUAAAACUUGCUGAUGGGAUUUUACCUGUUACUGUUCUCAAAUUCAUAAAGAAGAAAAUAUGUUAGAGAUUGUAACAUAAUUUGAAUGUCUGAAAUAUGCAUCAUUAAAAGAAGAAUUGUAAUGAUAGCUUAUUUGUAUGACUGUCAUUGAAACACUGAAAAAGUAUUCUGAUAUUGAAUGUUUUAAGUUGAUUCUUUCAAAUGUCAUUUUUGAACAGAUAACAACUAAAUGUGUAUGCUGAGAUACGUCCAUAUGCCUCUGUUUUUUCUAUUUGAAAUAUUAAUGGUUACUAUUCCUAAGGAGGGGUUUUUUUUCCGACAUAAUAGAAUUAAACAAUGCUUAUUCCGUAGUGUUAAUUGGUGAUAUUUUAGCAUUCUUUUUGAAACUUUUGCACAUGUGUAAGUUCAGUACUAAAACAUAUGUUGCUAUAUGACAAUGUAAAAGUGCAGAUGUGAAUUAUGGAAUAGAAAGUUGUCUGGAAAAUCAUAGCGAAAAUUUAACAUUACUAUAUAAACAUACCAGGAAAAAAGGGACAGCUGCUAUUUACUGCCUUUAAAAUUUUAUAUGUAUUUCGAAAGCAACAUCAAACAACCGAAGGAACUUAAAAGAUACAGCCAAUUUGUACUUGUCUUCAUUGUUACCUGUUGACAUUUUUGGAGUGUUGGGCUGUUGUAUCCAGCUUUGUAUUCCCAGUGACUGUUACGCAUAGUUUUUGAGUGAUCAUGAAGAGCGUGUGACCUAGAUACUAGUGCGGCAGAGAGUUUUAAACAGUGAAUUAAAGAAUAUUUGAUUACUCUCGGAAAGAAGGGAGAAGAUGGGAUUUCAGGUAAAUGAAAGGUGAAAGAAAAACAUAACAUGCAGAUAAUCUGAGGAUAUCUGAGAUCAUCAGGAACAUUCUUCCAGUGGAGUUCCUUGAUUUAUAAAUCUCAACUGUAAACCACAAGUAAGACAGUUCUGGAUCAAGAAACGCUGUAUUAGGACAAGAUUUUGGCUAGGCUCAAGAAAAUAACACUGGUGCAGACUUUGUUCUUGUACAGCUUGGAAUUAGCAGAUAUUCCUGAGAAUCAUGUGUCCUCUCAAGUGAUGACUACAUAGGAAAACUGAUACCAUUGAUUCUGCCACCAUCUUCCAUAAAACCAAAAAAUAGUCUUCAUAAUGUAUGGCAACUCCUCAUUAUUGUAUUGCAACAGACACUCCCUGUAGAUCAGAAAAACAGGCUGAGAAGGCUCAAAUUUAAAGGGUGAUAUUGGAGAGAAUUGUAACCAGAAUAUUCCCUGACUAAACUUGCAUUUUUUCUCUCAAUUGAUGCUUAACAUUACUUUGCAAGUUGGAAAAAAUAAUGCAGUUUUUAUUUCAUUUGCAACAAUUUAAUAGAUUAAUUAGGAGAGACUAGAUCUCUUUGAGUCUUCCUGUCAAACAACAAGCUGGGAUGGUAGCCUUGGUGAGUGCUUGCAUGCUUAUUAAGAACUGUUUCUUUGUUUGCCAUACUGUUUUGUCUGAUUUACACAAGCUCUUGGUUUUUAGAGCAAGGGAUUUUGUGAAUCUGUCCCUCUUGUGAGUCUUAACCCACAAGACUGAUGUCCUUUCGGAUGGACUGGUUGGAUCUCCUUGCAGUCCAAGGGACUCUCAAGAGCCUUCUCCAACACCACUGUUGCUAGAUCAGUCCUUUGGUUUUCAGGGAGAAGCUAGAAAUUGGGACUUCUCUCCUGAUGGUAAGGCACUAUGCUGAGGGUGGAGUUGAUGCCAAGAAUGUGUAAGGAAACAGCCUUUCCUACCUGUUUCGAUGUAUUUUCUCGUUUGUCCUACUUUCUGAAAGUUUCUGAGUCUCUUUCAGAGUAAAUUGUUCUGUGUGUAGCUGUACAUUUUGUGUGUCUGUAUGAGGAGGGGAGCUUAGGCACCUCCUUUGUCACCAUCUUGUUGCUUCUGAAUUUCUAAAGUUUUAGAUCUUUUCAGUCAAAACUUUUACCAUUGCUUUAAUAUUGUUUUUGAAACGUGAAGUACUUAAUAAUUUAAUCUUAGCCUUGGAUAAGCAGUUUAGUUGCUCGGUCAUGUUCGACUCUUUGCAGCCCCAUGGACUGCAGCACACCAGUCUUCCCUGUCCAUCACCAACUUCCAGAGCUUGCUCAAACUCAUGCCCAUUGAGUCAGUGAUGCCAUCCAACCAUCUCAUCCUCGUCGUCCCCUUCUCCUCCUGCCUUCAAUCUUUCCUGCAUCAGGGUCUUUUCAGAUGAAUCAGUUCUUUGCAUCAAGUGGCCAAAGUAUUGGAGUUUCAACUUCACCAUCAGUCCUUCCAGUGAACAUUCAGAACUGAUUUUCUUUAGGAUGAACUGAUUCGAUCUCCUUGCAGUCCAAGGGAUUCUCAAGAGUCGUCUUCAACACCACAGUUGAAAAGCAUCAAUUCUUUGGUACUCAGCUCUCAUUAUAGUCUAACUCUCACAUGCAUACAUGACUACUGGAAAAAACCAUAGCUUUGACUAGACAGACCUUUGUUGGCAAAGUAAUGUCUCUGCUUUUGAAUAUGCUGUCUAUGUUGGUCAUAGCUUUUCUUACAAGAAGCAAGCAUCUUUUAAUUUCAUGGCUGCAGUCACCAUCUGCAGUGAUGACUCCUUUUAUUCUUCAAAGAUAUUUUAUUGUAUGGAUUUCUAAUUUUCAUUAUGAUCAGUGAAUAUAUUCUAUAUCAGCUGAGUUAUUUUAAAUAUCUUUGGCUUGAUACAUGGUUUAUCUUGGUGAGUAUGCCAUAGACACUUUUUAAAAGAGUGCAUUUAUUCUGAAGUUGUUGACUGUAGUGUUUUAUAAAUGUCCAUUGGGUUUAAGUUGUUGAUAGUAUUGUUCAUAUCAUCUAUGAUUGAUAUUGUGCUUUAUUCUAUAAAUUACUGAAAACGUAGAGUUUAAAGUCACCAACUGUGAUUUGAUUUGUCUGUUACUCCCCUUUAUUUCUGUCAGUUUCACUUCAGGUAAUUUGUAACUUUUAUUUGUCAUACAAACUUUUGUAAUUAUUUAUAAAUUGACCAUCUUAUAUUUUGAAAUGUCUCUAUCUUUGGUAAUAAACAGACAUGAUGUUUGCAUUAUUGAAAAUUAAGAUAACUGCUCUAGGUUUCUUUUGCUUUCUGUUAGGAUGGUGUUACCUGUUUAUCUUUUCAACCUAUAACUUUAUGUAUAAAAUGUCAUUGGAUGGUGUAUAGUUGUUUAGUAUGUUUUAACCAUUAAUGGAACGUUUAUUCAGUGUUCAUUUAAGUAUUGAAAAAGUGGAUUUAAGUCCAUCUCUUUUAUUGUUUGUUAAGUGUGCUCACAUCUUUUAUUGUUUCUUUGUGAAGUGUAUACUCCCUAUCAGUGCCUAUCUUCUGCUUUCUAUUCUUCUGUCUCUUCUUCUCUGCCUUCCUUUUAAUUUUUUUUCAAAAUUCCUUUUUCCUUUACCUUUUUAGCUAUACUUCUUUUUUUUUUUUAGUGGUUUUCUAGGGAAUACUAUAUAUAUUUGUUUUAG
ensembl:lncRNA